rnacentral:rRNA from 1 species
UGGCUCAGGAUGAACGCUGGCGGCGUGCCUAAUACAUGCAAGUCGAGCGAAUGGAUUAAGAGCUUGCUCUUAUGAAGUUAGCGGCGGACGGGUGAGUAACACGUGGGUAACCUGCCCAUAAGACUGGGAUAACUCCGGGAAACCGGGGCUAAUACCGGAUAACAUUUUGAACCGCAUGGUUCGAAAUUGAAAGGCGGCUUCGGCUGUCACUUAUGGAUGGACCCGCGUCGCAUUAGCUAGUUGGUGAGGUAACGGCUCACCAAGGCAACGAUGCGUAGCCGACCUGAGAGGGUGAUCGGCCACACUGGGACUGAGACACGGCCCAGACUCCUACGGGAGGCAGCAGUAGGGAAUCUUCCGCAAUGGACGAAAGUCUGACGGAGCAACGCCGCGUGAGUGAUGAAGGCUUUCGGGUCGUAAAACUCUGUUGUUAGGGAAGAACAAGUGCUAGUUGAAUAAGCUGGCACCUUGACGGUACCUAACCAGAAAGCCACGGCUAACUACGUGCCAGCAGCCGCGGUAAUACGUAGGUGGCAAGCGUUAUCCGGAAUUAUUGGGCGUAAAGCGCGCGCAGGUGGUUUCUUAAGUCUGAUGUGAAAGCCCACGGCUCAACCGUGGAGGGUCAUUGGAAACUGGGAGACUUGAGUGCAGAAGAGGAAAGUGGAAUUCCAUGUGUAGCGGUGAAAUGCGUAGAGAUAUGGAGGAACACCAGUGGCGAAGGCGACUUUCUGGUCUGUAACUGACACUGA